UGAAGAGUUUGAUCAUGGCUCAGAUUGAACGCUGGCGGCAGGCCUAACACAUGCAAGUCGAACGGUAACAGGAAGCAGCUUGCUGCUUCGCUGACGAGUGGCGGACGGGUGAGUAAUGUCUGGGAAACUGCCUGAUGGAGGGGGAUAACUACUGGAAACGGUGGCUAAUACCGCAUAACGUCGCAAGACCAAAGAGGGGGACCUUCGGGCCUCUUGCCAUCAGAUGUGCCCAGAUGGGAUUAGCUUGUUGGUGAGGUAACGGCUCACCAAGGCGACGAUCCCUAGCUGGUCUGAGAGGAUGACCAGCCACACUGGAACUGAGACACGGUCCAGACUCCUACGGGAGGCAGCAGUGGGGAAUAUUGCACAAUGGGCGCAAGCCUGAUGCAGCCAUGCCGCGUGUAUGAAGAAGGCCUUCGGGUUGUAAAGUACUUUCAGCGGGGAGGAAGGUGUUGUGGUUAAUAACCGCAGCAAUUGACGUUACCCGCAGAAGAAGCACCGGCUAACUCCGUGCCAGCAGCCGCGGUAAUACGGAGGGUGCAAGCGUUAAUCGGAAUUACUGGGCGUAAAGCGCACGCAGGCGGUCUGUCAAGUCGGAUGUGAAAUCCCCGGGCUCAACCUGGGAACUGCAUUCGAAACUGGCAGGCUUGAGUCUUGUAGAGGGGGGUAGAAUUCCAGGUGUAGCGGUGAAAUGCGUAGAGAUCUGGAGGAAUACCGGUGGCGAAGGCGGCCCCCUGGACAAAGACUGACGCUCAGGUGCGAAAGCGUGGGGAGCAAACAGGAUUAGAUACCCUGGUAGUCCACGCCGUAAACGAUGUCUACUUGGAGGUUGUGCCCUUGAGGCGUGGCUUCCGGAGCUAACGCGUUAAGUAGACCGCCUGGGGAGUACGGCCGCAAGGUUAAAACUCAAAUGAAUUGACGGGGGCCCGCACAAGCGGUGGAGCAUGUGGUUUAAUUCGAUGCAACGCGAAGAACCUUACCUGGUCUUGACAUCCACAGAAGAAUCCAGAGAUGGAUUUGUGCCUUCGGGAACUGUGAGACAGGUGCUGCAUGGCUGUCGUCAGCUCGUGUUGUGAAAUGUUGGGUUAAGUCCCGCAACGAGCGCAA
rnacentral:rRNA from 1 species